rnacentral:rRNA from 1 species
ACAGUUCAAAGAGUGCGUAAUAGCUCACUGGUCGAGUGAUCCUGCGCCGAAGAUUUCCGGGGCUAAAACUUACUACCGAAGCUACGGCAUCAGUAAGGAUGGGUAGGGGAGCUUCCCAUACGGGUUGAAGCAUGACCGUAAGGACAUGUGGACAGUAUGGGAGUGAGAAUGUUGGCAUGAGUAGCGAGAUGUGGGUGAGAAUCCCACAGGCCGUAAACCCAAGGUUUCCAGGGGAAGGUUCGUCCGCCCUGGGUUAGUCGGGACCUAAGCUGAGGCCGAAAGGCGUAGGUGAUGGACAACAGGUUGAUAUUCCUGUACUACCGAU